UACGUAGGGCGCAAGCGUUGUCCGGAAUUAUUGGGCGUAAAGAGCUCGUAGGCGGUUUGUCGCGUCUGUCGUGAAAGCUUGGGGCUUAACCCCAAGUCUGCGGUGGAUACGGGCAGACUAGAGGCAGGUAGGGGAGAACGGAAUUCCCGGUGUAGCGGUGAAAUGCGCAGAUAUCAGGAGGAACACCGAUUGCGAAGGCAGCUCGCUGGGACGUUACUGACGCUGAGACGCGAAAGCGUGGGGAGCAAACAGG
rnacentral:rRNA from 1 species